UCAUCACAGGUCCUACUACUCUAUGAUCUAGCAGUCCGGUCCUGGGAGGAGAUGGAGGGAGGGUAAGAACAGAGGUCGAUACUGCAGGACUUAUGUAACAGGGACGGCGUUCCUCCGCUGGAAAAAGCAAAGGAACGCCGUUCCUGUAGGACUCGAGCCCUGGCUCAAAUGCUGUCUCAGCUCCCAUGUGCGCCCAGAAGCCGGCAUGACUGCACAGCUCCCCGCCACAGUGGGUGCGCACAUGUUGGAGCACGGACGCGGAUACGCCUAAAUGGCACAUAGAGAUAAUCUAGUGGUGACACGCAGUCAUGUCGGCCCAACAUCCGAAGUAACAUCAGGAGAUGAAUUAAUAAGUAUAAACAUUACAUGUGCCUUCAACUGCACCAUAACAUCAAGGCCAUUCUUAAGCUUUUAUAGACACAUAAGAUCCAGAUUUAUGAAGGCGGCUCAAAGAUUGCGGAGGGCCCUGCAACAUCACUGAAAUAAAAAAAAGAGAGUCCAAGAAACAUCUAUGAACAUCUCCCUCCUGCCAGGGGGACUCUCUGAAGCGAUAGAGUACUGAGGGCCAGUAGAAGCCGGACAUGCCCUGUGAAGCCUGUGUACUCCGCUAUGUCCACAAUAAAAGGAUUGAAACCUAUUGAAAACAUAAAGAAUGAAACAAGUGGAUAACCAGCUAAACUUGAGCGUGAGAUUGUGGUCUUGGUCAUAAACGUACUGCGCCUCCUCUGUUCCCUGUAGAGCACUGCUGGUAGGGUCUGUGACGAACAGCUCUGCUUGGUAAAGUUUUGCUUGUGAUAUUACUGAUCACCAAUCUUGGUCUAGCAUAGGGACCAUCGCCUAGCAUUUGUAUGUACAGUAUUUGUUUAUAG